rnacentral:lncRNA from 1 species
GAGCAGCCAAAGCAUCAAGUGGCACAACUGCACAAGCCCCUUCGGCAACGACCGUUGGGGAAGAAGACACCAACCAUCUAAAGAGAAAAAGGGAGAAAAACCUUAGAUCUCGAGUGGCCAAGGCACGAAACAGUACCACCGCACAAGCCUCCUUGAUGACGGCCAUUGGGGAAGAAGGCAUCGGCCAUUGAAACAGAAAAAGGGAGAAAAUGGCAUAGACGGUAGAUCCGUCGAGUGCCAAUAGUUGAGUGCCGAUGAAGUACUUCCUCUUAAGGACCGAAGGAGGAAACCAAAGGAGGAAGGAAACCGAAGGAAGGGUGGAAGCACUGGAGGAGGUGGAAGCAUCCGCGGAUGGCCAUCGAAGGAAUAGAGCUG